UCCUGGAAAAGCCCUGGUGCUCAUCUCGCUGUUUCUGGCGAAAAAAUGCUGGGCUGGACGCAACCAUCCCGUGCCACCCCCCCAGCGCCGCCGCCCCGCGACUAAGCAAAGCUCCCGCUGCCCCAGCCCACACCUAUUGCGUCGCCGGCUCGCCGCCGCGCCGCCCGCCUGGUGCACCGCCCCAGACCAAUGGUGCGGGAGGAGGAGAAGGGAGGGAGAGAGCGCGCGCAGAGCGAAUUGGCAACGAGGGCAUUGUUUUUGAUACUACCAGUGACUUAACUACUGAAAAUUGGGUGUUCAUGUAUACAACAAAAAACUACUGAAAAUUGGGGAAUAUCCUGUCUCUGGAAUGCAGUGGGAAAGGAAGAUGCAAUCCAUUGGCUAUGCCGGGUUGAGGCGUUGAGGCACCAGACUUCGAUAUGAUGUUGAUUACUGACAGAAGGGAAGAUAAGCUUGCUACUAUGCAUGCUCGCACUGCGCAUGAACAAACUUCUUCAUAUCACAGCUGAAGGUUUAGGUUUUGUUUUCUGAAUGGGACAGCUAUAUGACUUGACCAUGGUGGAUGAUCUGUGCCGCACCUGUGGAUAUGAAACUUCUUUAAUACAUCAACCACUUAGAUGAUUCUAGGAUACAUGAGGUAGAUAAUGAAUAUUUUGAUGGUUUAUUUUUGUUGAAUUAUUAUUACUCAGUCUCAAAUUGGCAAUCCCAUUAGUUUGACUGUUCUAUUAAAAUGUGUUCAUUUUCCUUUGAAUGGAAGGCUUGACUAUACAGUGUUGCAGCUGAUGCUUACACUAGUUUCUUAUUGUAUGGUUAUUGCUUGCGGUUAGGUGUUACAGAACAUUUGAACCUAAGUAUCUUUAUGUGCUAACAUGCAAAAUAGGUGCAAUAAUGAAUGCAAAAUCACCUAUAGAGGAUUUUGGUUCUAGUAUGAAGUUUACAAUUAGUAGACAAAACAUGUUUAUGCAAGACAAGCAGAAAAAUAUAUCUAAUUCAUACCAUUUGUGUAGCACUGCUGUUAGGCACUCAUGAUAAUCUUCUUCGUGUGCUCUUGUUGG